rnacentral:rRNA from 2 species
CAGGAUGAACGCCGGCGGUGUGCCUAAUACAUGCAAGUCGAACGCGUUGGCCCAAUUGAUUGAUGGUGCUUGCACCUGAUUGAUUUUGGUCGCCAACGAGUGGCGGACGGGUGAGUAACACGUAGGUAACCUGCCCAGAAGCGGGGGACAACAUUUGGAAACAGAUGCUAAUACCGCAUAACAACGUUGUUCGCAUGAACAACGCUUAAAAGAUGGCUUCUCGCUAUCACUUCUGGAUGGACCUGCGGUGCAUUAGCUUGUUGGUGGGGUAAUGGCCUACCAAGGCGAUGAUGCAUAGCCGAGUUGAGAGACUGAUCGGCCACAAUGGGACUGAGACACGGCCCAUACUCCUACGGGAGGCAGCAGUAGGGAAUCUUCCACAAUGGGCGCAAGCCUGAUGGAGCAACACCGCGUGAGUGAAGAAGGGUUUCGGCUCGUAAAGCUCUGUUGUUAAAGAAGAACACGUAUGAGAGUAACUGUUCAUACGUUGACGGUAUUUAACCAGAAAGUCACGGCUAACUACGUGCCAGCAGCCGCGGUAAUACGUAGGUGGCAAGCGUUAUCCGGAUUUAUUGGGCGUAAAGAGAGUGCAGGCGGUUUUCUAAGUCUGAUGUGAAAGCCUUCGGCUUAAC